GGACCAAGGAGUCUAGCAUGUGCGCGAGUCAUUGGGACCGCAUCUAAACCUAAUGGCACAAUGAAAGUGAUGGCCGCCUCGCGCGGACCGAGGGAGGAUGGGUCGGGCCCUGCCCGCAACCCCGCACUCCCUGGGCGUCUCGUUCUCAUCACGAGAUGAGGCGCACCCAGAGCGUACACGCUGGGACCC
rnacentral:rRNA from 1 species